rnacentral:rRNA from 1 species
UGACUCACGCGGGAAUCUUACCGGGUCCGGACACACUGAGGAUUGACAGGUUAUGGGGCGGGUUGAAUUUCAAUCUCUUCGGGGAUUAAUUUUCUCCCACCUCAAAAAUAUGCUAGUCCUUUCAUGAUUAUGUGAUAGGUGGUGCAUGGCCGUUCUUAGUUCGUGGAGUGAUCUGUCUGCUUAAUUGCGUUUCACUAAAGGCGUCAUUAAUUUUUUGUGCCUGUGUUUGACCCCGCACUUCGGUGCGCGCGCGUCUUUCACACACAAUUACUUUGACGUCUGAAAGCAACGAACGUGACCGUAACCUCUUGUUGCCUUCUCUUCUCUUCGGAGAAUGCUGCUUUAUACCUUCACGGGUGUAUCGCAGUAUACGGAGGCUUAAUACUCAGUAACUAGAGGGACCGCUGUUACUUUCUUUAAACCAGAGGAAGGUUGCGGCAAUAACAGGUCUGUGAUGCCCUUAGAUGUUCCGGGCUGCACACGUGAUACAUUGAUUACUUCAGUGAGUAUCUACGUAUUACUGCGCAGCAGUAUACGCGUGUUGUUUAUUGCUUCGGCAAUUUACUUUGCGCUAUACGCCGCCUUAACCUACUUCGAAAGUAUGUGGGUAACCAAUUAGAAGUAGUGAUUUCCCUCUUUAUAAGCACACUUAUAUGGAGCAUCAUCACCCGGCAUGCCUUGUGCAUGUUUUGUGUGUGUUGUUUGUCUACAUGUGCUUUUGUCAAUUCAUAGUGGGGACAGACCAUUGUUAAUUGUUGGUCUCGGUCUUAACUAGGAAUGCCUUGUACGAGUUUUUGGUUCAACAAACCACUCGGAAUACGUCCCUGCCCUUUGUACACACCGCCCGUCGCUCUUACCGAUGGAUUAUAUUAUGAGUUGGCAGGACCGUCCAGGAAAUGCCUGCGAAUAAUGUGAUCUAAAGGAAAGAGAAG